ensembl:lncRNA
UCUUCAUAGGGAUCUUCUCUGUCCCCACAAAAUAAUGGCUAAGAGUCCCUGCUACCCUGAUGCAUUUUGUUAUGUGAAGAUUACACACAUCCUUUGUAUGUGCUACUCUUGUCAUUCUGGCAAAUAACUACUACUACCUUCCAGUUAUGGUCUUCUGGUGCUAAAUAAGACAGCAGUUUGCUCAUUUCUUUCAAGAUAUUGGCAACCAGUCUUAUACCUUGGGCUGAGAUGGGCGCAUAGCAGACUACAUACAAAAAGUUGCAAUGAAUUGAACAAACAUCACUCAGACCUCAAGCCACAUUCUCAGGAGAUGUCAUAUUAGUUGUAUUAUUUGGGAGCUGACGUGGUCAGAUACAAAACCCUUUCCUCUGUAAUGGUUGAAUGUCUUAUACAGUACAUUAAGUUGAGUGGCUAUAAAGUCUACAUUUGUCAUAUGUAUUGUAACCCAACAGUAGACAUUGACAUGUGAUAGUUGGGUUUCUAUAUCUCCAUAUUGGCUAUAAAUGAAAUCUGAAUGAAUGAGAUGAACCCCCUAAUUCUACUCACCUGAACCUAGCUCUACAAGUAUGGGUUUGGGGAGAACAUAUUUAUUUUCUACUCAUUCAAACAAAUUGUUGAAUGUUUUCUUAUUUGUUUUAAUGGCUGCCUGUCUAGCAAUCUAUGACCAUGGACUGUUCUUAAAGUUAGCAUACAUUGACAAUUAAUUGCUCAUCUUUUUCUUUUAUAGAGGUCUAUGCAAAGUGACGUGUCCUCAGAUGGUGCUUUGUACUGUGAUAGGUUAUUAAUGUGGAUCACACAACCUGUAAUUUAACUUAAGUUUCUUUUUAAAUUCACACAUACAGAACUAUUUGUCGCCGUAUGUACUAGGUGACUUCUAUCUAUUUACCAGAUAGGUCAUGGACUGAUUGAUUUUAUAUCUAAACAUAAUAAUUUACUUUAAGUGGCACAAAAAGAUCCCUCGGCAGUCUGUUUCUUACACAAUCUCUCUGCAUUACUCCAUAGCUGCCUCCUUGAAGAAUGAAACUUUUUAUUAACAAGUCAAAUUUUAGAUGCAGCUUUUUGUUGCUUAAUUUUUUUGCAUGAUCCACAAGCAGGACUAUAUCUCUUAUAGCUGACUUAUGCAAUUAGAUGUACUUAACACUAUCAUUUUUGUAAGAGUAUUUUAUUUUUGUGUGUAAUUUAGGUCUAAUUAAACUUGCCUUUGUCAAAUAAUAUGAGGCACCUUGUAUGUGGCUGUGCCUUGUCUUUUGUCUGUGUAUGUGAGAGGUUUUGGGGGCUUUCAAAGGAUUUGAGCUGAAUUUCGCAGUAUUCAGGAGCUCAAAUUGAGCUGUGCAUUAAAUUUCCUUUGAUCAUCA